UCAGGGGAGCUGCAUUGGCGGCUGAGAUUGGCGGAAGCCUAAACCCUUAAACCUGAUGUGGACAAUGCCACCGUAGGGAGAUUGC
rnacentral:ncRNA from 1 species